rnacentral:rRNA from 1 species
UGGGGAAUAUUGCACAAUGGGCGAAAGCCUGAUGCAGCAACGCCGCGUGAGGGACGACGGCCUUCGGGUUGUAAACCUCUUUUAGCAAGGAAGAAGCGAAAGUGACGGUACUUGCAGAAAAAGCGCCGGCUAACUACGUGCCAGCAGCCGCGGUAAUACGUAGGGCGCAAGCGUUAUCCGGAAUUAUUGGGCGUAAAGAGCUCGUAGGCGGUUUGUCGCGUCUGCUGUGAAAACCCGAGGCUCAACCUCGGGCCUGCAGUGGGUACGGGCAGACUAGAGUGCGGUAGGGGAGAUUGGAACUCCUGGUGUGGCGGUGGAAUGCGCAGAUAUCAGGAAGAACACCGAUGGCGAAGGCAGAUCUCUGGGCCGUAACUGACGCUGAGGAGCGAAAGGGUGGGGAGCAAACAGGCUUAGAUACCCUGGUAGUCCACCCCGUAAACGUUGGGAACUAGUUGUGGGGUCCAUUCCACGGAUUCCGUGACGCAGCUAACGCAUUAAGUUCCCCGCCUGGGGAGUACGGCCGCAAGGCUAAACUCAAAUGAAUUGACGGGGUCAUAGCUGUUUCCU